GACGAACGCUGGCGGCGUGCCUAAUACAUGCAAGUCGAACGCACAGUUGAUACCGUAGCUUGCUACACCAUAGACGGUGAGUUGCGAACGAGUGAGUAACGCGUAGGUAACCUGCCUGGUAUCGGUUGAUAACUAUUUAGAACGAUAGCUAAUACCUCAUAAUAUUGAUUAUUGCAUGAUAAUUGAUUGACUUAUUCUAUUGCAUCGCUACCAGAUGGAUCUACGUUGUAUUAGCUAGUAUGUGAGGUAACGGCUCACCUAGGCGAAGAUACAUCGCCGAACUGAGAGGGUGAACCGGCACAAUGGGACUGAGACAAGGCUCAGAACCCCAAGGGAGGGAGCAGUAGGGAAUCUUUGGGCAUGGAGGGAAGUCCGAACGAGGCAAGGCGCGUGAGUGAAGAAGGUUCUUGGAUUGUAAAGCCCCGUUGUAAGGGAAGAAAGGGUGUGAGAGUGGAAAGUUCACACUGUGACGGUACCUUAUCAGAAAGGGACGGCUAACUACGUG
rnacentral:rRNA from 1 species